rnacentral:rRNA from 1 species
AUAUAUAGUGAAACUGCGAAUGGCUCAUUACACCAGUUAUAAUUUACUUGAGAGAGACAACCGUGGAUAACCGUGGUAAUUCUAGAGCUAAUACAUGCGAAAAGACCCGACUUUCGAGGAAGGGUUGUAUUUAUUAGAUACAAAACCAAUUCGGGGGCAACUCCGACAAUGUUGGUGAUUCAUAAUAACUUUGCGAAUCGUAUGGCCUUGUGCUGACGAUGAAUCAUUCAAAUUUCUGCCCUAUCAACUGUCGAUGGUAAGGUAUUGGCUUACCAUGGUUGCAACGGGUAACGGGGAAUUAGGGUUCGAUUCCGGAGAGGGCGCCUGAGAGAUGGCGACCACAUCCAAGGAAGGCAGCAGGCGCGCAAAUUACCCAAUACCGACACGGUGAGGUAGUGACAAUAAAUAACAAUGCAGGACCCUUUACGGGGUUUUGUAAUUGGAAUGAGUACAAUUUAAAUCUCUUAACGAGAACCCAUU